rnacentral:rRNA from 1 species
GAUGAACGCUAGCUACAGGCUUAACACAUGCAAGUCGAGGGGAAACGGCAUCGAAAGCUUGCUUUUGAUGGGCGUCGACCGGCGCACGGGUGAGUAACGCGUAUCCAACCUGCCCAUCACUUGGGAAUAACCUUGCGAAAGUAAGACUAAUGCCCAAUGACAUCCCACGAAGGCAUCCGAAUGGGAUUAAAGAUUUAUCGGUGAUGGAUGGGGAUGCGUCUGAUUAGCUUGUUGGCGGGGUGACGGCCCACCAAGGCAACGAUCAGUAGGGGUUCUGAGAGGAAGGUCCCCCAGAUUGGAACUGAGACACGGACCAAACUCCUACGGGAGGCAGCAGUGAGGAAUAUUGGUCAAUGGGCGAGAGCCUGAACCAGCCAAGUAGCGUGCAGGAUGACGGCCCUAUGGGUUGUAAACUGCUUUUAUAAGGGAAUAAAGUGGGUAACGUGUGACUUUUUGCAUGUACCUUAUGAAUAAGGACCGGCUAAUUACGUG